rnacentral:rRNA from 1 species
CCUACGGGAGGCAGCAGUGGGGAAUAUUGCACAAUGGGGGAAACCCUGAUGCAGCGACGCCGCGUGAAGGAAGAAGUAUUUCGGUAUGUAAACUUCUAUCAGCAGGGAAGAAAAUGACGGUACCUGACUAAGAAGCCCCGUCUAACUACGUGCCAGCAGCCGCGGUAAUACGUAGGGGGCAAGCGUUAUCCGGAUUUACUGGGUGUAAAGGGAGCGUAGGCGGUGCAGCAAGUCAGAAGUGAAAGCCCGGGGCUCAACUCCGGGACUGCUUUUGAAACUGUUGAACUAGAGUGCAGGAGAGGUAAGUGGAAUUCCUAGUGUAGCGGUGAAAUGCGUAGAUAUUAGGAGGAACACCAGUGGCGAAGGCGGCUUACUGGACUGUAAAUGACGCUGAGGCUCGAAAGCGUGGGGAGCAAACAGGAUUAGAUACCCCAGUAGUC